rnacentral:lncRNA from 1 species
ACUUAUUUUCAUUGCGGAUUUUCAACCCUGCUACAGCACAGCAUUCCUAAAGCAGGAGCAGAGGUUGUAGCUGAAGAUAAAGUGUGGUGGCCUGCGUCAUCCCGUCCAGUUCCAGUGCCACUAAUAACUCACGUGAGUAACAGAAACACUUGGGCUCCUCUGACGAAAUGUGACGAAGGAACAGAAGUGACGUGGAGAACAACGUUCAUCUCUGUGAUGUCCCGUCUGUGGUCCAUCUGCCUCUGAAUGCCACACAGCAUCCUCAGCACCACUCAGGAAUUUCCUGAGCUGUUGCAAAGACUUUCCUCCCAAGUCUGGUUUGCUAGACUGCAAAAUUUAACUGAAGCUGAGAACAGACCGGCAACAUCAUGAAAUUCCCAACAAAAUGAACCGGUCCAGCCAGUGCCAGCUGCCGACGGGCUGAGUUUGGGGCUGCGUUAACUUCCGAUAACAGAAGACGUGGUCUGACAGUGAGCCAGCCACAGAACCUACCCGACGUCGUGCCAGACCUCCCACCAGCUUCUCAGCUCUGCCUUCAACAUAUGCUGGCUUCCCACUGGCAAGGGUGAGUGAGGUAACUCCUCCAUUUGGAGGGAGAAAACUAUGAGCCACCGAACUUCUGCAGCUCCUUGGAUGUGUCCUCUGACAGAGUGUAUCUAUCAACCAGUGUCUCAUGGUUAAUCACACCUAGAAAACAUAAUGUGGCAUUUAAUAAGCCAGGGUAAAGAACCUUCC